AGGAAUGCCGCAUGGCCGGGGCCCGGGGCGGAGCGGUGGGACCAGGGCUCCCGGAGUCAGCUCCAGGGCAGGAAGUGGCCCGCUCCUCCUUUCAGAGAGUGUUUCCGGAGCGCCUACUGUGUGCUCCUCCAUGGGGGUGGGGGCACUACCAGGCACAAAGGGUGCCAGUCCCCGUACCUUUGAGCCUCUGGUGGGCAGUCACAAGCCCACGGAUUCCACCAGUGACCCCAGGCCUGCUCACAUGAGUGACGCGUUCCUCCCCAUGGCCAGCAGCAGAGCGGACUGAAUGCUGGGUGACAGGCUGGCCUCAGACUCCGGUGCUCAAGGAUAUUCUUGCUUCAGGUUCCCAAAUAGCACUGCACACUGCACACGUGAAUCCCCAUGCCUGAUGCCCGGCUGAAGGCUCUCGAAAUCGUGAGGAAAGAAACUGGGAGCAGUUGAAAGAAACCUACACCGCCAGCGACUUACAGGUUUCACAUCAGUUUGAAGUGGGAGACACAGCCCUGGUGAGGAGGCACCGAGCGGGGAACCUCGAGCCGCGUUGGAAAGGACCCUCCCUGGUACUAUUAACUACAGCCACCACCCUUAAAGUAGAAGGAAUCCCCUCUUGGGUUCAUGCCUCACAUGUUAAGAGGGCUCCCCCUGAGACUGAUCGUGAUGAGUGGACCCUGGAAAAGACUAAUAAUCCUCUUAAGUUGCGCUUGCGUCGCAAGAGCGACUCAGAACAGAGACAUCAACCCUCAUACUCCAACAAUCAUGGGAAGUGCUUAAUGAGGAGGGGGACACUGUAUGGUCGACCACCGCAGUACAACCCCCAUGGACCUGGUGGCCCGACCUCACACCUGAUAUUUGUAAGUUAGUAGCAGGGUCACUUACCUGGGACCUCCCCGACCAUACCGACCUUCAUAAACCACCACCUGAUAAACAGUGUGUCCCGAGCGGGAUAGGGAGCACGUUUGGAUGCUCAGGACAGUUCUACCGAGCCAAUCUUCGGUCUGCAGAAUUUUAUGUUUGCCCUGGCCAACCACGAAAGCUUCGGCAUCAGUGUGGAGGGGCACCGGACUUUUACUGUGCUGCAUGGGGUUGCGAGACCACAGGUGGAGCUUAUUGGAAUCCUACCUCUACCUGGGACCUGAUCACGGUAAAAAGGGGCAGUAGCUAUGACCAGCCAAACCAAGGUGAGAGAGAUAGUUCUAAAUACCUUGAGAGCGGGUGUUCCUGGUUCAACAGCCCUAAUGGACCUUGUAAAGAUAACUAUUGCAACCCCAUACGUAUAAAAUUUACUGACCAAGGGAAACGAGAACGCCAGAGCUGGCUUAAGGGAAACAAUUGGGGUUUGCGAUUGGACGAAGUAGGGAAAGACCCUGGAUUAGUUUUCAAAAUCAAAUUGACUGUGGAGAGUCCAUCCCCAGUGCCCAUAGGACCUAACAAGGCCCUCCCAGAACAGGACCUCCCUGCCAAACCCAAACCCCUGGCUCCAAUAAUUGAGAACCCCCUCAAGGUCGGCACCUCCCAAGAUUCCCCGACCACAAUCUCCUCAGAUCCCUCGACGGGACAGAGACUGUUCAACCUGAUUAGAGGGGCCUUUUAUGCCCUUAACAGCACUGAUCCAGAUGCUACAACUGACUGCUGGCUAUGCCUGUCCUCUGUCCCUCCCUAUUAUGAGGGGAUCGCCCUUAAUGGAGAGUUUAACACAACCACCAGUCAUGCUUCCUGCUCAUGGGGAACAGAAAAAAAAUUAACCCUGACUGAGGUGUCGGGAAAGAGCCCUGGUCUCUGCAUAGGGACACCCCCCCCUUCCCAUCAACACCUAUGUAACCGAACCCAUCCUGUAUCUAGGACAAGUACCAACCAUUACCUUGUACCAACACCAGUCGGCUGGUGGGCCUGUAACACGGGACUCACACCGUGUGUAUCAACUAAUGUGUUUGACUCCUCCAAAGAUUUUUGUGUCAUGGUUCAACUUUUACCCCGCAUAUAUUAUCAUACUGCCUCCAGCCUAGAAGACGAAUAUACCAAUAAGAGAAUUAAAAGAGAACCAGUUACCCUUACCCUGGCUACAUUGGUGAGGGUAGGUCUCACGGUGAGAGUAGGAACAGGGGUAUCAGCCUUAAUUGAGGGUAGACAAGGAAUCAAGUCCUUGAGAGAUUCUAUAAAUGAAGAUUUAAGCAUGCUAGAAAAGUCUAUCAAUACAUUAGAAAAAUCCUUGACCUCCCUGUCAGAAGUAGUAUUACAAAACAGAAGAGAUUUAGAUUUACUGUCUUUAAGGGAAGGUGGACUAUGUGCAGCUUUAAAAGAAGAAUGCUGCUUCUACGCAGACCACAUGGGGAUAGUCAGAGAUUCUAUGCAGAAAUUGAGAGAAAGGCUAGAAAAGAGAAAACGAGAUCGGGAAGCUCAACAGGGAUGGUUUGAGUCGUGGUUCUUUAAAUCUCCGUGGAUGACCACUUUAUUUUCUGCUUUGGCCGGGCCGCUUCUUAUUAUAUGUUUGGCAUUGAUCUUCGGCCCCUGCUUAAUAAAUCAGGGAAUUGCUUUCGUUAACAGUAGAGUGAAUGUAGUGCAGCUUAUGGUUCUCCAACACCAAUAUUAACCUAUAGUGAAGAUAGAAGAAGAAUAUGAUUCCUACCCCCCACAUGAGGAUACAGACCUUUAAAAUUCUAAGAUUAGAAUUAUUUAGUAGAAGAAGAGGGGAAUGAAAGAAAGAAAACCAAAUUCAAGGCCCCAGACAGGCCAGCACAAAGGCUGUUAAGUCAUUCCAGGAACUGACUUGCCAUAAAGAUAAGAGGCAUGCAAGAACAAUCUCUGGACAGGCCCAGUUGAGAUUGGGCCACCUGUUCUGGUCUCCUUCUGAUACGGUUUGAGUUUAACCAGAUGCUCUGCUGACAUAGAUAAGCACCCUCCCUCUAGAGUUGCUGUUGUCCCGACCCGCAAGUACCCGCUUGCUGAUGUUUAAACUGUCCAAUUGUGUGUAACCGCGCCAAUUUCCCCUACCCCUGACUUUUUUUCUAUAUAAACUCCUAACUUUUGAGCCUCAGGGUCGAUUCCUCUGUCUCCUGCAUGAGACAUGUGUUGGCCUGGAGCUCCGUCAUUAAACUCCCUCGUGUUUUUGCAUCAA
rnacentral:lncRNA from 1 species